GGACGACGCUGCGGCAUGCCUAAUACAUGCAAGUCGAACGCUUUGUUUCACCGGGUGCUUGCACCCAUCGAACAAAAGAGUGGCGGACGGGUGAGUAACACGUGGGUAACCUGCCCAUAAGAGGGGGAUAACAUCCGGAAACGGAUGCUAAUACCGCAUAUUUCCAAUUGUCUCCUGACAGAUGGAAAAAGGUGGCUUCGGCUACCGCUUAUGGAUGGACCCGCGGCGUAUUAGCUAGUUGGUGAGGUAAUGGCUCACCAAGGCGAUGAUACGUAGCCGACCUGAGAGGGUGAUCGGCCACACUGGGACUGAGACACGGCCCAGACUCCUACGGGAGGCAGCAGUAGGGAAUCUUCCGCAAUGGACGAAAGUCUGACGGAGCAAUGCCGCGUGAGUGAAGAAGGUUUUCGGAUCGUAAAACUCUGUUGUUAGAGAAGAACAAGGAUGAGAGCAACUGCUCAUCCCCUGACGGUAUCUAACCAGAAAGCCACGGCUAACUACGUG
rnacentral:rRNA from 1 species